rnacentral:rRNA from 1 species
UACAGAGGUCCCAAGCGUUGUUCGGAUUCAUUGGGCGUAAAGGGUGCGUAGGCGGCGGGGUAAGUCAGGUGUGAAAUCCCGGAGCUCAACUCCGGAACUGCACUUGAUACUGCCUUGCUCGAGUACUGGAGAGGAGACUGGAAUUUACGGUGUAGCAGUGAAAUGCGUAGAUAUCGUAAGGAAGACCAGUGGCGAAGGCGGGUCUCGUGGACAGUUCCUGACGCUGAGGCACGAAGGCCAGGGGAGCAAACGGG